rnacentral:lncRNA from 1 species
CCCCGAGCUUCUGCUACAAGCGGUCUACUUCAAAUUUCUACUACGAGCGGUCCGCAUCGGAUUUUCACUAUAAGCCUUCAUCCGAGCUCCCAUUGUGGAUGCAUUCCUUCCGGAUCUCCAUUGCAGGUAGGCUUCGACCGAGUUUUCUCGACAAAUGAUCCCCAUCCGAACUCCUACGGAUAUCGAACUCCGACCGAACUCCUGUAGCGGAUAGAUUUCGGAUGAAUUCCUACGACACACGGAUUCCAGCAACCGGACCCCUCCAGCGGAUGAACCUCUCCAGUGCCAUCCGACACCCACUGACC